rnacentral:lncRNA from 1 species
CUGAGAGAGGUCAGACAAGCCUGCUCAAGGCCAGUCAAAGCCUGCAGUCACCUGUGUUUCCAUCCAGAGCUCUUCCAGCUACACCACAGUUCAACUAAGAAGGUCACUCCAAAGAUGUCACCAGUGUUUUCCCCAAACAUCAUUUUCAUCUUGGCACUCCCUUCCUCAAGCAGGUAUGUAUGAUGACUCCCUAUUGCCUUCCAGAUCAAGAAUAAACUCCUAAAUUAGACCCUGGGUAUCAUUAGAAUGCUCCAACAAAUUAGACUGACUACAGUUUCUAGUCUUGAACUGACGUUUCCAGAUUGUAGGUCUGAUCAUUUUUAAAAGAAAGAACUAGUCACAGUCUAUAGGUAUUCCCACUGGGGGAAUAGGGUGCCCAGGAAGUGGGCACAGAUCCAGCCAGUCUCAAAGCCAACACUCUGGAAUGUGGUGUACAGGGGAGAGGGCAGACAGGAUGCCAAGUCUCCACAGUUCAGUUCAGUUCAGUUGCUCAGCCUUGUCCGACUCUUUGCGAC